UAGAUACCCUGGUAGUCCACGCCGUAAACGAUGAGUGCUAAGUGUUAGAGGGUUUCCGCCCUUUAGUGCUGCAGCAAACGCAUUAAGCACUCCGCCUGGGGAGUACGGUCGCAAGACUGAAACUCAAAGGAAUUGACGGGGGCCCGCACAAGCGGUGGAGCAUGUGGUUUAAUUUGAAGCAACGCGAAGAACCUUACCAGGUCUUGACAUCCUCUGACAACCCUAGAGAUAGGGCUUCCCCUUCGGGGGCAGAGUGACAGGUGGUGCAUGGUUGUCGUCAGCUCGUGUCGUGAGAUGUUGGGUUAAGUCCCGCAACGAGCGCAACCCUUGAUCUUAGUUGCCAGCAUUCAGUUGGGCACUCUAAGGUGACUGCCGGUGACAAACCGGAGGAAGGUGGGGAUGACGUCAAAUCAUCAUGCCCCUUAUGACCUGGGCUACACACGUGCUACAAUGGGCAGAACAAAGGGCAGCGAAGCCGCGAGGCUAAGCCAAUCCCACAAAUCUGUUCUCAGUUCGGAUCGCAGUCUGCAACUCGACUGCGUGAAGCUGGAAUCGCUAGUAAUCGCGGAUCAGCAUGCCGCGGUGAAUACGUUCCCGGGCCUUGUACACACCGCC
rnacentral:rRNA from 1 species